rfam:Drosophila busckii chromosome 2R sequence.
GUUUCUCUGAUGACACUUUACAUUUCUGACACCUCAUAUGAAUCACUGUGAUUCCAAUUAUUUGUAAUUAUAAGCUGAAAUU